rnacentral:rRNA from 1 species
UAGUCCACGCCGUAAACGGUGGGCACUAGAUGUGGGGACUUUCAACGGUCUCUGCGUCGUAGCUAACGCAUUAAGUGCCCCGCCUGGGGAGUACGGCCGCAAGGCUAAAACUCAAAGGAAUUGACGGGGGCCCGCACAAGCGGCGGAGCAUGUUGCUUAAUUCGAGGCAACGCGAAGAACCUUACCUGGGUUUGACAUGUACGGAAAAGCUGCAGAGAUGUAGUGUCCUUCGGGGCCGUACACAGGUGGUGCAUGGUUGUCGUCAGCUCGUGUCGUGAGAUGUUGGGUUAAGUCCCGCAACGAGCGCAACCCUCGUCCUAUGUUGCCAGCAUUUAGUUGGGCACUCUAGAGAAACUGCCGGUGACAAACCGGAGGAAGGUAAGGAUGACGUCAAGUCAGCAUGCCCCUUACGCUCUGGGCUACACACGUGCUACAAUGGUCGUGACAAAGAGUUGCUAGUCUGCGAAGGCAAGCCAAUCUCAUAAACGCGGCCUUAGUUCGGAUUGCAGG